GAUGAACGCUGGCGGCGUGCUUAACACAUGCAAGUCGAACGGUGAGGGCUAUCUUGCGUGGCGGAUUAGUGGCGAACGCGUGAGUAACACCUGAGUAACGGGCCCUUACCACUGGGAUAGGCCGCUAAAACCCCGUCUACUACGGGGCAGAAGCGUCAACCGCACGGUGGGGGUGCUUGCGUUUUAUCGGUCAUGGAGGGACGCGCGGCCUAUCAACGUGUUGGUGCGGUAAUGGCUCACCAAGGCGACGACGGGUAGCCGGGCUGAGAGGGUGACCGGCCACACUGGGACGGAGACACGGCCCAGACUACUACGGGAGGCAGCAGUGGGGAAUAAUGCACAAUGGGCGGAAGCCUGAUGCAGCGACGCCGCGUGAGGGAUGACGGCCUUCGGGUUGUAGACCUCUUUCAGUAGGGAAGAAGCGAAAGUGACGGUACCUGCAGAAGAAGCACCGGCUAACUACGUG
rnacentral:rRNA from 1 species